ACCGGAAGGACUCUCCUCCGGUCGAUGAGGAAGCUAAACCUCAUUGACCGGAAGGGAUGCCUUCCGGUCGAUGAGGUUUAGCUUCCUCACUGACCGGAAGGGGUUCAUUCUGGU
rnacentral:miRNA from 1 species